GAGUUUGAUCCUGGCUCAGGACGAACGCUGGCGGCGUGCUUAACACAUGCAAGUCGUACGGUAAGGCCCUUUCGGGGGUACACGAGUGGCGAACGGGUGAGUAACACGUGAGUAACCUGCCCACAACUUUGGGAUAACGCUAGGAAACUGGUGCUAAUACUGGAUAUGUGCUCCUGCUGCAUGGUGGGGGUUGGAAAGCUCCGGCGGUUGUGGAUGGACUCGCGGCCUAUCAGCUUGUUGGUGGGGUAGUGGCCUACCAAGGCGGCGACGGGUAGCCGGCCUGAGAGGGUGACCGGCCACAUUGGGACUGAGAUACGGCCCAGACUCCUACGGGAGGCAGCAGUGGGGAAUAUUGCACAAUGGGCGCAAGCCUGAUGCAGCAACGCCGCGUGCGGGAUGACGGCCUUCGGGUUGUAAACCACUUUCAGCAGGGACGAAGCUUUUUGUGACGGUACCUGCAGAAGAAGCACCGGCUAACUACGUGCCAGCAGCCGCGGUGAUACGUAGGGUGCGAGCGUUGUCCGGAUUUAUUGGGCGUAAAGGGCUCGUAGGCGGUUGAUCGCGUCGGAAGUGGAAACUUGAUGCUUAACGUUGAGCGUGCUUUCGAUACGGGUUGACUUGAGGAAGGUAGGGGAGAAUGGAAUUCCUGGUGGAGCGGUGGAAUGCGCAGAUAUCAGGAGGAACACCAGUGGCGAAGGCGGUUCUCUGGACCUUUCCUGACGCUGAGGAGCGAAAGCGUGGGGAGCGAACAGGCUUAGAUACCCUGGUAGUCCACGCUGUAAACGGUGGGUACUAGGUGUGGGGUCCAUUCCACGGAUUCUGUGCCGUAGCUAACGCAUUAAGUACCCCGCCUGGGGAGUACGGCCGCAAGGCUAAAACUCAAAGGAAUUGACGG
rnacentral:rRNA from 1 species